ACCGUUUGGAUUUAUACAAUAAAAACUUCACUUAUUCAACAGGAGGGACAAGGGUGGUUUCUAAAUGUCUCAACAUUUUUCCCCCAUAAGAAGCUCAUAAAAAUCUAGUUUUCUUAGAAUUCUAAGAUGUGCUGUCGCACCCACACAGUCUUUUCGUAUUUUGUUUAUUUGUUUUCCCCCUGUCUCCUGUGCCCUUUGCCCCUCAGGCCCAACUCCAAAUCAACACACAGACCUUUUCCAGGCUCUGGUUCCUGCUCUGGAAGGACAGGCUGCAGUGACUGGGUUCAGACAAUUUAUACGCAGGCAUUUUCACUGUGGCAGCGCACUUCUGCAGAAGGCGCCCUGGCUGUGCUGAGAGAUGGGCUUCUGCCGAGGGGACUAAAGAGCUGGUGGGGCCUGAUUAGUGCUGCGUCCUCCAUCGCCAGCACCCUUGCUUCCCGACUCCCCACUCCUUCACAUCGUCUUUCCCCUCUCUGCCAGGCUGCCUGGUGGGAGGAGAAAGUGAAAAUGAAGAAAGAACACUGGAUACAUGUAAAUGACCUCUCCAGGGUUGUUUGGGAGCCACCAAGCUGGACCUAACAAAAGACACAGAAUCUACCUUAAAAAACAAAACAAGAAAACACAAGAACAACUGUUCAAGUAUUGAAGUAAUAGCUCCUCAUUCCUUAUGUUCAGACACUAGCAACAGAGGACUCACUGAGUUCAGACUGAAUGGUGCCAGAGACUUCAUAAGACAGCGUUUAUCUAGUAUUGAAUGAGUAAUUUCCACAGACAGCUGAACUAUUUGAGAAGCUAAACAAGUAACUGAAACUUCAGAAACCCUGGUGAGCGUAAGUGCUACAUGAGCCACAUGUCCCCAAUUCCCUGAAAGCACAAAGGCACCGCAGUUGUCUGCUGAGGUUCAUCUUGAUCAUAUAAAGAAACUUCACUCCUUUCUUUCACACUCAUGGGAAGUUUCCCUACUGUUAUCUUUAUCAGUAGUAUUUAUUUGCAUAACACUGGAUGUAUCCAUUCCUUAAAGUGUGGGCAGAAUUCCUCACAAAUAGCAGUUUGGGCUUGGUGCUACUGUGGUGAGCAGCUCUUUGGUUGCUUCUGCUAUUACUUCUAUGGCUACUGAUUUCGUUAGAUUUUUAUCUCUUCUAUAGUUAGUUUUGCAAUUUAUAUUUUCCUUGACAAUCAUACAUUUCAUCCAGGUUCUUGUAGCAGUUCUUUGCACAUAUUUCAGCCAGGUGGUGACAUGAUUCUUUGAAUUUUCCAAGUGAAAAACUGGAUGUUUAAGUAACAUGUUAUUUUCUUUAAGAAAAAAAAAUGAUCAAGAUU